rnacentral:rRNA from 1 species
AUUGAACGCUGGCGGCAUGCUUUACACAUGCAAGUCGAACGGUAACAGGGAGCUUGCUCCGCUGACGAGUGGCGAACGGGUGAGUAAUGCGUCGGAACGUGCCGAGUAGUGGGGGAUAACGCAGCGAAAGUUGUGCUAAUACCGCAUACGUACUGAGGUAGAAAGUGGGGGACCUUCGGGCCUCACGCUAUUCGAGCGGCCGACGUCUGAUUAGCGAGUAGGUGAGGUAAAGGCUCACCUAGGCGACGAUCAGUAGCGGGUCUGAGAGGAUGAUCCGCCACACUGGGACUGAGACACGGCCCAGACUCCUGCGGGAGGCAGCAGUGGGGAAUUUUGGACAAUGGGCGAAAGCCUGAUCCAGCCAUGCCGCGUGUCUGAAGAAGGCCUUCGGGUUGUAAAGGACUUUUGUCGGGGAGGAAAUCCCCAGCGCUAAUACCGCUGGGGGAUGACAGUACCUGAAGAAUAAGCACCGGCUAACUACGUGCCAGCCGCCGCGGUAACAC